UACGGGGGGGGCAAGCGUUGUUCGGAAUUACUGGGCGUAAAGCGUGCGCAGGCGGUUUUGUAAGCCAGAUGUGAAAUCCCCGGGCUUAACCUGGGAAUGGCAUUUGGGACUGCAAGGCUUGAGUGCGGCAGAGGAGACUGGAAUUCCUGGUGUAGCAGUGAAAUGCGUAGAUAUCGGGAGGAACACCAAUUGCGAAGGCAGCUCGCUGGGACGUUACUGACGCUGAGACGCGAAAGCGUGGGGAGCAAACAUG
rnacentral:rRNA from 1 species